rnacentral:rRNA from 1 species
UACGGAGGGUGCGAGCGUUGUCCGGAUUUAUUGGGUUUAAAGGGUGCGUAGGCGGCUUUUUUAAGUCAGUGGUGAAAUACAGCAGCUCAACUGUUGAGGUGCCAUUGAUACUGAGAGGCUUGAGUACAGAUGAGGUAGGCGGAAUUUAUGGUGUAGCGGUGAAAUGCAUAGAUACCAUAAAGAACACCGAUUGCGAAGGCAGCUUACUAAGCUGUAACUGACGCUGAGGCACGAAAGCGUGGGGAGCGAACAGG